rnacentral:rRNA from 1 species
UACGGGGGGAGCAAGCGUUGUUCGGAUUUACUGGGCGUAAAGGGCGCGUAGGCGGCCUACUAAGUCAGACGUGAAAUCCCCCGGCUUAACCUGGGAACUGCGUCUGAUACUGGAAGGCUUGAGGAUGGGAGAGGGAUGUAGAAUUCCAGGUGUAGCGGUGAAAUGCGUAGAUAUCUGGAGGAAUACCGAUGGCGAAGGCAGGUCUCUGGGCUGACACUGACGCUCAUGCACGAAAGCGUGGGGAGCAAACAGG